UCGGGAUUAAAAUACCGAAUCAAAAGAUUUAAAAAUAAUUGCUAAAAGAUAUGCUUGUAGAAGAUUAGGUAGUAGGUGAGGUAAUAGCUUACCUAGCCAACGAUCUUUAGUUGAUUUGAAAGAAUGAUCAACCACACUGGGACUGAGACAAGGCCCAGGCUUUUUUUUGAAGCCAGCAGUAAGGAAUAUUGGACAAUGGGCGAAAGCUUGAUCCAGCAAUACCACGUGAGGGAUGACAGCUUAUUUUGGUUGUAAACCUCUUUUAUUAAGGAAGAUCAUGACUUACUUAAAAAAAAAGUCCCGGCUAACUUCGUGCCAGCAGCCGCGGUAAUACGAAGGGGGCGAGCGUUAUUCGGUUUAAUUUGGUGUAAAGGGUUCGUAGACUGUAAUAAGGUUGUUUAAAAAAAAAUUGAGAGACUCAAUCUCUUUAAAAGAAUUUAAAAACACUUUUACUUGAGUAUAAAAAAAGAUUGUAGAGUUUUAAAGGGAGAAGUAAAAUUCGAAGAGCUUUAAAGGAAUAUCAAAAGCGAAAGCAACAAUCUGGUUUAUAAUAACUGACGUUGAGGAACGAAAGAAUAGGUAGCAAACAGGAUUAGAGACCCUGGUAGUCUAUUUUCUGUAAACGAUGAGUGUUCGUAUUUAGAAUAUUAUAUUUUAGAUACUAAGUUAACACGUUAAACACUCCACCUGAGGAGUAUAGUCGCAAGUCUGGAACUCAAAGGAAUUGACGGGGGCCUAUACAAGUGGUGGAGUAUGUGGUUUAAUGCGAUAAUACGCGCGAAAUCUUACCAGCUUUUGAAUUCUUUUUUUUUAGAAGUAAUAUUGUUUAUUUUUAAAAUAUUAAGAACAGGUGUUGCAUGGCUGUCGGCAGCUCGUGUUGUGAAAUGUUUGGUUAAGUCCUUUAACGAGCGCAACUCUUUUUUUUAGUUGCAACUUUUAGUGCACUCUAAAGAUAUUAUUUAUGAUGAGUGAAUGGAAGGAGAAUUACGUCAAGUCCUCAUGGCCCUUAUAAGCUGGGCUACACACGUACUACAAUGGUAAUUACAAAACGCAGCAAUAACGUAAGUUGGAGCAAAUCGUCUAAAAGUUAUCUUAGUUCAGAUUGUUGACUGUAACUCGUCAACAUGAAGUUGGAAUCACUAGUAAUCGUAAAUCAGAAUGUUACGGUGAAUUUGUACCUAGGCCUUGUACAUACCGCCCGUCACAUGCCGGGAGUUAGUUUUACUUUAAGAAAGUGGAAAUAACUUAUAGAAACUUG
rnacentral:rRNA from 1 species